rnacentral:rRNA from 1 species
AGCGAACGCUGGCGGCAGGCCUAACACAUGCAAGUCGAACGAACCUUUCGGGGUUAGUAGCGGACGGGUGAGUAACACGUGGGAACGUGCCUUUAGGUUCGGAAUAACUCAGGGAAACUUGUGCUAAUACCGAAUGUGCCCUUCGGGGGAAAGAUUAAUCGCCUUUAGAGCGGCCCGCGUCUGAUUAGCUAGUUGGUUGAGGUAAUGGCUCACCAAGGCGACGAUCAGUAGCUGGUCUGAGAGGAUGAUCAGCCACAUUGGGACUGAGACACGGCCCAAACUCCUACGGGAGGCAGCAGUGGGGAAUCUUGCGCAAUGGGCGAAAGCCUGACGCAGCCAUGCCGCGUGAAUGAUGAAGGUCUUAGGAUUGUAAAAUUCUUUCACCGGGGACGAUAAUGACGGUACCCGGAGAAGAAGCCCCGGCUAACUUCGUG